rnacentral:rRNA from 1 species
AGCAGCCGCGGUAAUUCCAGCUCCAAUAGCGUAUAUUAAAGUUGUUGCAGUUAAAAAGCUCGUAGUUGAAUUUCGGAAUCUGUCCGUUGGUCGGGCUUCACUGUCCGUACUGGUGUGGUGGGUUCUUACCUUCUGAAUAACCAGCAUGCCAUUCACUUGGUGCGCUGGGGAAGCAGGACUAUUACCUUGAAAAAAUUAGAGUGCUCAAAGCAGGCUAGUGCCUGAAUACAUUAGCAUGGAAUAAUAAAAUAGGACGGCAUGGUUCUAUUUUGUUGGUUUUUGGGGAUUUGAGUA